rnacentral:rRNA from 1 species
UUACUUCGGUACAUCGGUGACAGUGGUGCAUGGUUGUCGUCAGCUCGUGUCGUGAGAUGUUGGGUUAAGUCCCGCAACGAGCGCAACCCCUAUUGUUAGUUGCCAUCAUUCAGUUGGGCACUCUAGCGAGACUGCCGGUAAUAAACCGGAGGAAGGUGGGGAUGACGUCAAAUCAUCAUGCCCCUUAUGACCUGGGCUACACACGUGCUACAAUGGUUGGUACAACGAGUUGCGAGUCGGUGACGGCGAGCUAAUCUCUUAAAGCCAAUCUCAGUUCGGAUUGUAGGCUGCAACUCGCCUACAUGAAGUCGGAAUCGCUAGUAAUCGCGGAUCAGCACGCCGCGGUGAAUACGUUCCCGGGCCUU